rnacentral:rRNA from 1 species
CUACGGGACGCUGCAGUAAGGAAUAUUGCGCAAUGGAGGCAACUCUGACGCAGCCAUGCCGCGUGCAGGAAGAAGGCCUUAUGGGUCGUAAACUGCUUUUAUUUAGGAAUAAACCCCCGAACGUGUUCGGGGCUGAAGGUACUAAACGAAUAAGCACCGGCUAACUCCGUGCCAGCAGCCGCGGUAAUACGGAGGGUGCAAGCGUUAUCCGGAUUUAUUGGGUUUAAAGGGUGCGCAGGCGGGCUAUUAAGUCAGUGGUGAAAUCCCGGGGCUCAACUCCGGAACUGCCAUUGAUACUGAUAGUCUUGAGUUUGGUUGAAGUGGGCGGAAUGUAGCAUGUAGCGGUGAAAUGCAUAGAUAUGCUACAGAACACCAAUCGCGAAGGCAGCUCACUAAGCCAAAACUGACGCUCAUGCACGAAAGCGUAGGGAUCAAACAGGAUUAGAUACCCGCGUAGUC